GCCUGGUUAGCACAGUGGUAAUGCGUUGCACUUGUAUCCUCUCUAGGUGAUAUGCAAAGAUCACUGGUUCGAUUCCAGUACUAGGCA
rnacentral:tRNA from 1 species